rnacentral:rRNA from 1 species
AUUGAACGCUGGCGGCAUGCCUUACACAUGCAAGUCGAACGGUAACGGGCCUUCGGGUGCCGACGAGUGGCGAACGGGUGCGUAAUACAUCGGAACGUGCCCGAUCGUGGGGGAUAACGAGGCGAAAGCUUUGCUAAUACCGCAUACGAUCUACGGAUGAGAGCAGGGGACCGCAAGGCCUUGCGCGGACGGAGCGGCCGCUGGCAGAUUAGGUAGUUGGUGGGAUAAAAGCUUACCAAGCCGACGAUCUGUAGCUGGUCUGAGAGGAUGAUCAGCCACACUGGGACUGAGACACGGCCCAGACUCCUACGGGAGGCAGCAGUGGGGAAUUUUGGACAAUGGGCGCAAGCCUGAUCCAGCCAUGCCGCGUGCAGGAUGAAGGCCUUCGGGUUGUAAAAUGCUUUUGUACGGAACGAAAAGCCUUCUUUUAAUACAGGAGGGUCAUGACGGUACCGGAAGAAUAAGCACCGGCUAACUACGUG